rnacentral:rRNA from 1 species
GUAGGUGCAAGCGUUGUCCGGAAUUAUUGGGCGUAAAGCGCGCGCAGGCGGUCCUUUAAGUCUGAUGUGAAAGCCCACGGCUCAACCGUGGAGGGUCAUUGGAAACUGGGGGACUUGAGUACAGAAGAGGAAAGCGGAAUUCCAAGUGUAGCGGUGAAAUGCGUAGAGAUUUGGAGGAACACCAGUGGCGAAGGCGGCUUUCUGGUCUGUAACUGACGCUGAGGCGCGAAAGCGUGGGGAGCAAACAGGAUUAGAUACCCUGGUAGUCCACGCCGUAAACGAUGAGUGCUAAGUGUUAGGGGGUUUCCCGCCCCCUUAGUGCUGCAGCUAACGCAUUAAGCACUCCGCCUGGGGAGUACGGCCGCAAGGCUG